CGGAUUACUCGAAAAUUUCAAUUACCAACAUUGGGAGAACUAAAUUAAAAUGUCAUUUUGAUAAAUUGUUGCUGGUCGUAAAAAAUCGAUAAGAAUAGCCAAGUAUCCACCAAAUUGUAACACAAAGUGAGCGCAAAAUAAUUGCGGACGAUUAAAAAAAUGUUACAAUAAAUGCAAAAACUUACACACAAAUAUGGACGCCCGUGGAACAACUAGCCAAGUUGGUAGAGGGGAGCAUGAGAACGCUUGAGAAACAUCACCCAAGUCAUAUCGAAUUAUUAUCCAAUAAAUACGCACUAAACUGUAACGCGUUCACAGUUGAAAAGUUGGUGAUUUAUCACACGAACAAAUGAGAAUACUAAAUAUCACAAUUAUUUCAAUAAUUUGGCGUUAAAUACUUGUAUUAUACGGGCACCACA